AUUGAACGCUGGCGGCAGGCUUAACACAUGCGAGUCGAGCGGUAGCACAAGAGAGCUUGCUCUCUGGGUGACGAGCGGCGGACGGGUGAGUAAUGUCUGGGAAACUGCCUGAUGGAGGGGGAUAACUACUGGAAACGGUAGCUAAUACCGCAUAACGUCGCAAGACCAAAGAGGGGGACCUUCGGGCCUCUUGCCAUCAGAUGUGCCCAGAUGGGAUUAGCUAGUAGGUGGGGUAAUGGCUCACCUAGGCGACGAUCCCUAGCUGGUCUGAGAGGAUGACCAGCCACACUGGAACUGAGACACGGUCCAGACUCCUACGGGAGGCAGCAGUGGGGAAUAUUGCACAAUGGGCGCAAGCCUGAUGCAGCCAUGCCGCGUGUGUGAAGAAGGCCUUCGGGUUGUAAAGCACUUUCAGCGAGGAGGAAGGUGGUGAACUUAAUACGUUCAUCAAUUGACGUUACUCGCAGAAGAAGCACCGGCUAACUCAGUG
rnacentral:rRNA from 1 species